AUGAUGAGCAUUUUUUCACGUUUCUUGGCCUCAUGUAUGUCUUCUUUUGUAAAGAGUCUGUUCAUAUCCUUUGCCCAUGAGAAGAAAGCUCAUGAAAACUGGCUUAAAGCUCGUGCGGCAGAAAGAGCUAUAGCUGAAGAGAAAAGGGAAGCUACCAACUUGAGACGCAGAUUACUGGAAUUAACACAAAAGACGGCAACGCUGCAGGAAGAACCUGUGAUUGUAAAACCAAUGCCGGGAAGACCAAAUACACAAACCCUCCCCAGAGAGGUCCUCUGAGCCAGAUUGGCUCUUUUGGCCCAUCCCCUGUGAGCGGUGGAGAAUGCUCCCCUCCACUGACAGUGGAUACACCUGGGAGACUGCUCUCUGCUACUGUCAGUUGAAGAGAUAUGCCCAGAAGUGAAUUUGGAUCUGUGGACGGACCUCUGACUCAUCCUCGAUGGUCAGCUGAGGCAUCUGGGAAACCCUCUCCUUCUGAUCCAGGAUCUGGUACAGCUGCCAUGAUGAACAACAGCUCAAGAGGCUCUUCCCCUACCAGGAUGAUGGAUGAAAGCAAGGUUAAUAUGAUUCCAAAAGGGCCCCCUCCUUUCCCAGGAGUCCCUCUUAUGAGCACCCACGUGGGAGGCCCUGUACCACCACCCAUUCGAUAUGGACAACCACCUCAGCUCUGUGGACCUUGUGGACCUUUUUGGCCUCAGCCAAUUCCUCCACCCUUUGGCCCUGGUAUGCGUCCACCACUAGGCUUAAGAGAAUUUGCACCAGGAAGAUGGGACGUGCCACUCCACCCUCGGGAAUUUUUGCCAGGACAGGCACUAUUUAGACCUUUAGGUCCUCUUGGCCCAAGAGAGUACUUUAUUCCUGGUACCCGAUUACCUCCCCCAACCCAUGUUCCCCAGGAUUACCCACCACCACCUGCUGCAAGAGACUUACUACCGCCAGGCUCUAGAGACGAGCCUCCUCCUGCCUCUCAGAGCACUAGUCAGGACUGUUCACCGACUCUAAAGCAGGGCCCAUAACUAUAACCUCUGAUGUUUUAUUGGAGAAAAAAUGGACUGUGCAUUAUUCAUUACAGUAAAGGACUUCAUUGGCUUCAAAAAUCCAAGUUUAUUUUAAAAGAUCUGUUGUUAGAACUAAGCUGCCUUGGCAGUAUGCACUUUUGAGCUAAACAAUUCAGAAAUGUCAUUUCUUCCCUAAAUAAAAAUCACCUUUUAA